UACCAGCACCCCGAGUGGUCGGGACGUUUAUUGGGCCUAAAGCAUCCGUAGCCGGUUCUACAAGUCUUCCGUUAAAUCCAACUGCUUAACAGGUGGGCUGCGGAAGAUACUAUAGAGCUAGGAGGCGGGAGAGGCAAGCGGUACUCGAUGGGUAGGGGUAAAAUCCGUUGAUCCAUUGAAGACCACCAGUGGCGAAGGCGGCUUGCCAGAACGCGCUCGACGGUGAGGGAUGAAAGCUGGGGAAGCAAACCGG
rnacentral:rRNA from 1 species